rnacentral:lncRNA from 7 species
AUACUUGUUUUGCAGAGCUCUGUAGCAGGCUAGUCAAAGCUGUGACUAACCAGACCCUUGGAUACGUACUCUAAUCUCUGGCCUUUAUUUUUACAAUGAAUUUGAUUCAUUCUUUGAUUGCAUAUUUUUUCUGAUUUGCGAGAAGCUUCAUGCUCUGUGUUUGGAUGCUGACUGCAAUACAGCAAUAGUCUUUGAUACGAGUCACAGUGUACACUCUGUGGGGAGCCUGAAGGUGAGCAUAUUUUCCUCUUCAUAUUUUUCAAAGCAACUAGUGGUGAAUGCUUGACUCAAAUGACACAAGUGCGAGAGAUUGGAAAUGGUAUCUGAAUGAUGAGAAUGAAUGAAAGACAUUCUUCUCUGUGUUAGAUGGCAAAAAUGAAUCCAAUUAAGCUGAGUAAAGCAUGGUAUGUGCUCCAGGCAGGAAAUAUCCUAAAGGACAAAUAUUCCAUUAGAGCAAAAAUGGAAAUAUUUACUUCUUAUUCUUUUGUGUGUUUGUCGAACUGAUUUGGGGUAAGAGACAGUGUGAAGAGACAUCUAAGGACAUCACUUUGCUGUUGGAAAACAAAAGUAUUGGAAAUAAAAGGGAAAUGAGGAAAUGUUUUUAUAUUUGAUAUGAUUUACGGAGAACAGAGAGGCUAACACAUUUUAGCAGGUGAAGCGAAUAAAUAUUGCUUUUGAAAUAAGGGUAAUUAAGCAAUAACUGUUAUGCAGUGCAAAUAUAUGCCCAAGCGAGGAUGUUUGGUGGUUGUUAUUUUUGCCCCAAGUGAUUAACUAAAUGCCAUGGUGAGACCCACAAUUUACGUAAAUAAACACUGCAGUAAUGAGACUGUGGUUUUUGAGGCGGGUCAUUACUUUAGAAAAUCUUUCUCUCCCUUUCUUUUUCUUCUCUCUUUUUCCUUUACACACAUAUUGGUGCUGUUUUGAGAAAAUGUCAAAAAAGUUAACCUUAGUUUCAGAUCAACCAUCUGGAGUUUUUCUAAGAAAAGCAGUCCAAAAUAGCAAAUGUAACUGCUGAAGCAAAGUAUGUUCU